rnacentral:lncRNA from 1 species
CUUCAGAGUUUUUCACUAUGUUCAUCGAAGAUUAGGGCCCAAGCUCUACUAGAAAGGAGGUAAUGAUCCUCUCAUCUUCAAGUUAAUCUCAUUUGUUGUCCCUUUGAGCCCUUAGAAACUUGAUUUGUAGCUGGCUACCAUUGGAUUUCUCAUGAAAAUAUCGAUCCCUCUUUUUUAUUCCUUGCUUUGAUUUUUCCAAUCAUCCUCAUCGUCGAUCGCCAGCCGUGGAGUACUCGACAGCAUUGCUGUGGCCUAGCCACAGUCGGCCUUGGUCUCCAUCGACAUGGACUCUUCCCUACUCCAAUAAAGAAAGGGAAAAUGAGUCCCUUAUUUAUCUAAACAAACAAGACGAAAAGAAAAGAAAAGA